UACGAAGGGCUAGCGUUGCUCGGAAUCACUGGGCGUAAAGCGCACGUAGGCGGAUUGUUAAGUCAGGGGUGAAAUCCUUGGAGCUCAACUCCAGAACUGCCUUUGAUACUGGCGAUCUCGAGUCCGGGAGAGGUGAGUGGAACUGCGAGUGUAGAGGUGAAAAUUCGUAGAUAUUCGCAAGAACACCAGUGGCGAAGGCGGCUCACU
rnacentral:rRNA from 1 species